rnacentral:piRNA from 1 species
UCAGACUCUCAGACCUGAAGUAGGCGC